AGCAUUGAAACACCAGUUCUCAUAUGAUCACAGAAGUUAAACAACGUCAAGCCUAAUCAAUACCUAGAUGGGUGAUCACUUGGGAAUACCAGGUACAGUA